AACGGGAAGAUGAGGAGUGGUAUUUUCUCACUUGUGAGAUGAGUGUCUGCCCCAUGCCUGGUUACGACAAAUGGGCACUCACAUUCUAAUCCUAUCUGAUUCCUUGCCUAUGGAUCCUUUUCAUUUUUCCAUACAACAAUAUACAAAGCGCUCUUUUUACAUGAGGAGAAGUCUCAAAUCCUCGCCGUAACCCUAGAAAUGGACAUAUGUGAUACACGCUCUAACCUCUCUCUAGGGUUUAAUGUCCAUUCCAUUUCUGACAAACAUGAAGCAUCUGGACCUGUUCGAACCCCAAUUGCUGAUGAUUCAAUUUACUUUCAACUCGAUUCGAGCUUUUCCAAUGAUCAGUCAUCGAAUUCUGCUUCCUCGAUACCAUUGCAGCUGCUUGAGCAAUCUGAUUACAGCAAUUUCGGCAAUUGUGUAGAAGACACAGAAGUGGGGGAACAGAGAGAAGAAGAAUUCAGCAUAUUGGGUUACCCCAUGUGCUUGAAGAGAAGAAGAGAGAGGGACGGCUCUGUGGUUUCUGCUCAGAAAGGCAGCAACAUGAAUCAUGUUCAUCAUCGCCUAUGGAUUUAGAAGCCAGGAGAAUGGCAGUUAGGGUUUGGGGAAAGCAACCUUUAGCAAAUUUUGCAAUGUAUACAGGCCUUAUUUUGCCUAAAGAUCGAAUCAUGGGCCUUGAUUCUCCA